UGUCAUUGAGAAGAUGGGCUAGUAAAAAGGAACAUGAUUUAGUUUGGACAAAGCUGUUCAAAUGGAAAAAAUCGCUUUCCAGAAUCCAGAGAAGAAUAUUCUUCAAAGGAAUUUCAGAAGUAAGCGUGAGCCUGAGAUGAGACAGGAGGCUAAUAAUGAAGGAGUCAGUAAAGGAGGCCAGUGCCAUGGGGGUUAUCUCACAGCCCCAGAUGAUGGCUAAGUUGAAGAAGGCAGAAUCGCUUUUGGAUGACAUACAGGUCUGAAUGAUGAUUUAGAGAAGAAAAGGCUAUUCUUUCCAAGGAGCCAUGAAUGAAAGCGUAUUUCAGCACAAGCACAUCUCCACGCUAAAUGGCCCUCUGAACAUUUGUCAUUUGUGUUGAGUCCGUUGACAGACCAGCUAUCCUUAUUGCUGUUAUUUAUGACAACUAGUUUAAUAUAUGUAAAUAGGCACAAAUAGCCGUCAAAAGGCUCCCAGAGUGGGAGACUUAAUAAAUGUGUGUGUCUGAAGCAUCUAUGUGA